rnacentral:rRNA from 1 species
AGUCGAGCGGACCUCUUCGGAGGUCAGCGGCGGACGGGUGAGUAACACGUGGGCAACCUGCCUGUAAGACUGGGAUAACUCCGGGAAACCGGAGCUAAUACCGGAUACUAUGUCAAACCGCAUGGUUUGACAUUCAAAGACGGUUUCGGCUGUCACUUACAGAUGGGCCCGCGGCGCAUUAGCUAGUUGGUGAGGUAAUGGCUCACCAAGGCGACGAUGCGUAGCCGACCUGAGAGGGUGAUCGGCCACACUGGGACUGAGACACGGCCCAGACUCCUACGGGAGGCAGCAGUAGGGAAUCUUCCGCAAUGGACGAAAGUCUGACGGAGCAACGCCGCGUGAGUGAUGAAGGUUUUCGGAUCGUAAAACUCUGUUGUCAGGGAAGAACAAGUGCCGGAGUAACUGCCGGCACCUUGACGGUACCU